rnacentral:misc_RNA from 1 species
AGCCAACGCCUCUCUCUCUCUCUCUCUCUCUUCCCUUAUCGCCUCCCAAAUUGAGAGCCGUCGAGCCCUAAAACUUAAUAGGAUAAGGCGCUAAAAUUUUAACCUAAAACAGCAUAACCAAUUUAAUACUUGUUCGGGCUGUGUCAAGAAGUAAUCGGCGACAAAUGGCACGCUUAUUGGUCUCCUCCUCGGCCUCGUCUCUAAGAUUCAGUUCCUUCGUCUUCUCUCCAAACCCUAGCACCACUCUUGAUUCUCAGAAGUCUUCUCUCCCCUUCGAG